UGGGGAAUUUUGGACAAUGGGGGGAACCCUGAUCCAGCCAUCCCGCGUGUGCGAUGAAGGCCUUCGGGUUGUAAAGCACUUUUGUCAGGGAAGAAAAGGUUCUGGCUAAUAUCCGGAACCGAUGACGGUACCUGAAGAAUAAGCACCGGCUAACUACGUGCCAGCAGCCGCGGUAAUACGUAGGGUGCAAGCGUUAAUCGGAAUUACUGGGCGUAAAGCGUGCUCAGGCGGUUCGGAAAGAAGGAUGUGAAAUCCCAGGGCUCACCCUUG
rnacentral:rRNA from 1 species